AGCAGAGGAAGGACCACUCCCCCCAUGGGAGGUUCCCUCUCCGCCCUCUUGGUAGAAGGCUCUGCCUCCCGGCUCCUCCCCUAGGGGCGGUGUCAUGGGCUUCACAUGCUGGCUGUCCCCUUCCGCCUCCACCUUCACUGGCUGCGAGCUUCCCAAAGGCAUGUUCCUCCUCGCUCCCCCUUGCUCGGAUGGUGAUGGCACAGGCUUGGCUGGGGGCGGGGACGGGAAUGGGGGGACCAGCCUAACCGGAGGCUGCAGCAACAGUCGCCCGGCCACUCCAACCGGGAGCUGUGGCGGGAGUGGGGGCCCAGCCUGGUCGGGGGUGGCAGCGGUGGUUGCCAAACCCCUUUCCUCCCCUGCUUGCUGUGACGACGGCGGUGACGGUGCUGGCAGGGGCGGGACCAGGGGUGGAGGGGGCCUGCCUGGACCUGGGCUGGGGCCCAGACUCAAGUCAGGGGCAAUGAGGUCUAACUCCUCCUCCUCGUUUUUACAUUCGUUAUUCAAUAUCGACUCAUCUUUUUUACUUUUCCCCUGUUUUUUCUUUAAGAGCACUAUAUGCUCCUUUUUCUCUGGCCCUUACUGACAAGCCAACACCAUAAAGAGCCUAGCAUAUUCUAGUUCGUCAAAAUAUCAGUCUUUGUGUAUGCGGGAGAUUAAACUUGAUAUUAAUUGAAAAGAACAGGGCAUAUGCCUUUAUUAAUAUUCAGCUCUUUAUUAAAGUGAUCAGCUCAUUAUUAAAGUCAUCAGCAGGAUUGCAGAGUCCAAUCGGAGCUUUCCACACUGCUGCAGCCAUCCAAAGGAGCAGGAUUGCAGAGUCCGAUCGGAGUUUUCCACGCUGCUGCAGCCAUCCGAAGGAGCAGGUGCUGUUCCAGUUCAUCGUUCAACUGCAAACACCUGCUGCUCGGAGGCUACUGCUACAGUCCAACUCACCACCUGGAGUGGCACUGAGACCAGCUGCUCCCUGUGAGUUUUGCAAGGGGAGCCACCAUUGCCCGAAUCACCAUUAUCAGUGGAGAGGCAGCUGAGCUCACGCCACAGCGCCCCCUGCAGCCGUGGGGGAAUCAUCGGACCUGCUCUGCCUGGCUGGGAGCCAACAGCUCACUCUGCCAGCCACGGUCAUAACUACACCAAAGGGGAGCUUGCUUGAAGGCCAAGAGAAGCCUGUUUUUUUGGUUUCUGAUUUUGUUUGUUGUUGAUGCUGUUGUUUGUUUGCCUUGUUAUAUAUAUGUUCUAGUAAAGAACUGGUAUUACUUUUCCCAUAUCUUUACCUGAAAGCCCCAUAAUUUCAAAAUUAUAAUAAUUUGGAGAGAAGGGGAGUCAUAUUUUCCAUUCCAGGAAGGUUCCUCCCUUCCUUGGAAGAUACCUGUCUUUAAAACCAAGACAUCAUGUCCAACCAGAACCUCUCCUAGCAGAGCUUGAGGCCAUUUCCUCUUGUCCUGUCACUGGUUGCCUGGGAGAAGAGGCCAACCCUCACCUGGCUACAACCUCCUGUCAGGGAGUUGUAGAAAGUGAGAAGGUUCCCUCUAGAGCUUCCUUUUCUCCAGUCUGAGCCCCCUCCAGCUCCUUGAGCUUCUCCUCAUAGGACUUAACAUCUAGAUAUUUCCCCAGCUUUGUUGCCCUUCUCUGGUGUUGUGGUUUAACAAAGGGUGAUUUUCAGUUAGGAAGGAUGGUUCCCUGUGAGAACCUGGCAGAGCCAAUCAAUGGGCUAGUUUUGAAGAUUCACACCCGGUUAAACCACUUAAAAGAGUUGAACAUGCCUCUGUGUCCAAAAGCACAUUUAAAAACAAGCAAAGCCUGGAAAAAUUCACUCUUGGCUUCCAGCAGAGUCUGCAUGAGUGCCCAGAGGAUCCCCCCUCCCCUGCCUUCCCCUCUCCUCCGAGCCACUAUUAUCCCUGGGGAGGUUCCGAGCUUGCAUUGGAGCACCCCCUGCCAGCUGCGAGUGAGCCACUGCAGCCUUCUGUAGCAGGAGCAUGAUGUGUUAUGGAAUGAGAUUUGAGCUAUCCCAAACUGGGCCUCAGAUUUGGGCCUGCUAGGCCUCAGAUUUGGGCCCAUGUAGAAGUAGAUAAACCUGUGGCGCAGUUAGAAUUCAAGUUAAAUUGUGUGCAUGCUUUAGCUAGAACAGUUAGAAUAGAAACACGGUGGUUGCCUUAAACUAAGAUUGUUUGCAUUCUUUCUCAUGCUGAAUGCCAAUAGAAAUGCACCUGCAACUGUAAACUAUCUGACACUGUAUAAAACCAGCCAUUUUGGGAAUAAAGGGGAGAACGUAUGUUUUAACCACAUUGGUUGUAUAGUAGGUUGCUUUGUUCCAACCCCAUAUAGAGACCCUGGUUUCAGCCUUCUGUUGGAGUCCAGAGGAUCCCUCUGACAGCCCUGGAGAGUCAGGGGGCUGUACAGGGGGGUCUGGGAUCUGUACAAGGGGGUCAGCCAGCCUCCCACAGAGCCCAGAAGGACUCUGAUUCUGGCUUCUAUCCAUGGAAGUGAAUGCUCACAUGAAGGAAGAAUCACAGAUCCUAAGAAUUUAGAAGUAGAUAGUAGUUUGUCAUAGAGUAUAAAUAUAGAGAUUAGGAUUCAUAGUAUACGGGGCUGAGAGGACAAGAUGGAGGAAUUGGGGAGUGGCCCCUAGUUUCCUUGUUCUUGUUCUCAUCCCCCAUCUUUUUGCUGAUUUGGACUUUAGAGAUUGGUUUAGAAUAGAACUGACAUGUUAGCGUAGCAAGUUAGUAUUGGUAAUGUUCUGUAAACAAUAAAUACGUCUUGGACUGUGGUUGGGUCGGGAGUACGGUACAUAAGGUACGGGGCUCUCUGAUCCGCCCCAGUCCAGCGGCAGCCCAGUCCAGCGGCAGCCCAGCGCCAGUCCAACGGCGUGUCUUGCUUUGCUGGGGACGCCUUGCAAAGCCGAACAAGAACUGUUAGAUAAUAUGAAAUAAACAACCUUGAUAACUUGAGCUGCUGGACUCACAGUGUCGUCUCUGCCUUCGGUGUGAAACGCUCAGGGCAAAGAGGAGACAGAAAACCUUAUUAUCUUGGGGAACAGCAACCCCAGGGAAAUACCCAGGGAACAGCAACCCUGGGGGAAGAUUUCACCACCUCGGGGAACGGCCGCCCCGAGGGGAAUC